CUUGAACGCUGGCGGCAGGCCUAACACAUGCAAGUCGAGCGGAGCGGCGGACGGGUGAGUAAUGCAUAGGUAUCUGACUGGUCGUGGGGGAUAACGUACGGUACCGGGAGCUAAUACCACAUCCUAUCAGCUGAGCCUAGGUGGGAUUAGCUAGUUGGUGGGGUAAAGGCCUACCAAGGCGACGAUCCGUAUCUGGUCUGAGAGGAUGAUCAGUCACACUGGAACUGAGACACGGUCCAGACUCCUACGGGAGGCAGCAGUGGGGAAUAUUGGACAAUGGGCGAAAGCCUGAUCCAGCCAUUCCGCGUGGGUGAAGAAGGUCUUCGGAUUGUAAAGCACUUUAAGUUGGGAGGCGUUACCAACAGAAUAAGCACCGGCUAACUGCGUGCCAGCAGCCGCGGUAAUUC
rnacentral:rRNA from 1 species